rnacentral:rRNA from 1 species
CCUACGGGCGGCAGCCGUGGGGGAUAUUGCACAAUGGGGGAAACCCUGAUGCAGCGACGCCGCGUGGGUGAAGAAGCGCCUCGGCGCGUAAAGCCCUGUCAGCAGGGAAGAAAAUGACGGUACCUGAAGAAGAAGCCCCGGCUAACUACGUGCCAGCAGCCGAGGUAAUACGUAGGGGGCAAGCGUUAUACGGAUUUACUGGGUGUAAAGGGGGCGCAGGCGGCGAUGCAAGCCAGGAGUGAAAGCCCGGGGCCCAACCCCGGGACUGCUCUUGGAACUGCGAGGCUAGAGUGCAGGAGGGGCAGGCGGAAUUCCUGGUGUAGCGGUGAAAUGCGUAGAUAUCAGGAAGAACACCGGUGGCGAAGGCGGCCUGCUGGACUGCAACUGACGUUGAGGCCCGAAAGCGUGGGGAGCAAACAGGAUUAGAUACCCGAGUAGUC